GGGGGUGAAAGGCAUCGAUAGGAAACAGCUGAUGAAUUGCGCAAGCCCAGUUCUUGGAACCUGGUUAAACUUCCAAGAAUCAAAUAAGUGCCAACUUAUUUCAAAGACCGGCUUAUGCUUACGCAUAACGCCAUGGUCGGCGCUUGAUUAGCAAUAAUCAACGCCCAUCUGUUUUGCGGAUUCUCGAUAAGCAAGACCGGUGUAAUUUAUCGAGAUAAGCGGUUCUUCAUUGGCCGGGAAGGAUUGCUAAAACAGGCCUAAGAUAGGAGCCGUUUUCCUUGAUUCGAGGCCCCUAUCCGACAACACUAAUCAAGGCAAGCUUGUAGAAACAGUUCAAACGCCUUCCUAUACGCGGGUUCGAAUCCCGCCAUCUCCACUA
rnacentral:tmRNA from 1 species